rnacentral:rRNA from 1 species
UACGAAGGGGGCGAGCGUUGUUCGGAAUUACUGGGCGUAAAGGGCGCGCAGGCGGCGGACCAAGUCAGGCGUGAAAGCCCCGGGCUCAACCUGGGAGGUGCGUCUGGGACUGGUUUGCUGGAGUUCGGGAGAGGAGCGUGGAAUUCCCAGUGUAGAGGUGAAAUUCGUAGAUAUUGGGAAGAACACCGGUGGCGAAGGCGGCGCUCUGGACCGAGACUGACGCUGAGGCGCGAAAGCGUGGGGAACAAACAGG